AUUUUUAUAGUUGAAACCACAACAGAGGCUUUUCAUGCCCCAAGUUUGGGUUAAACCCCCAAUAAAAAUG
rnacentral:tRNA from 1 species